UCCAGACUCCUACGGGAGGCAGCAGUGAGGAAUAUUGGUCAAUGGUCGGGAGACUGAACCAGCCAAGCCGCGUGAGGGAUGAAGGUACAGAGUAUCGUAAACCUCUUUUGUCGGGGAACAAAGGCGGGGACGUGUCCCCGGAUGAGUGUACCUGAAGAAAAAGCAUCGGCUAACUCCGUGCCAGCAGCCGCGGUAAUACGGAGGAUGCGAGCGUUAUCCGGAUUUAUUGGGUUUAAAGGGUGCGUAGGCGGGCUGUUAAGUCGGCGGUCAAAUGUCGGGGCUCAACCCCGGCCUGCCGUUGAAACUGGCAGACUUGAGUUGGCGAGAAGUACGCGGAAUGCGCGGUGUAGCGGUGAAAUGCAUAGAUAUCGCGCAGAACUCCGAUUGCGAAGGCAGCGUACCGGCGCCAGACUGACGCUGAGGCACGAAAGCGUGGGGAUCGAACAGGAUUAGAUACCCUAGUACCG
rnacentral:rRNA from 1 species